GGCUUCAUGGUCUAGUGGUAUGAUUCGUGCUUUGGGAAUAUAUCUCAGCUGCACGAGGCCCCGGGUUCGAGCCCCGGUGGAGCCC
rnacentral:tRNA from 1 species